UCUCCCUCUCUCAAGUGCUGAGCAUGGCUGUAAAGCCCCCAUUAAAGCUGUGUAGAGGGGAGCCUCCUGCCAACCCAGACCAACCACAGCACUUUGCCAACAACGUCUGCUCUGACAGGACCAGGAGAGAUGUUUGUGUGAUUUCCCCAGCGCCUGGUACUGAGGCAUCGCAGACAUGGGCACUGCUGUGAGAAACAUUGCACUAAGGAAGGACACAGAAACAGCCUGCACUUCAACCCUGCUGGAAGGAGCAUCUAAUUCAACUGCCCAUCCUUAGUCCAGGAGGAAUUAAUUUGACACCUCAGCAACUUAAUAAAAAGCAUUAAACACA